GGCCGGUUAGCUUAGUCGGUAGAGCGUGGUGCUAAUAAUUUGAGCUGGUUGAAAAAUGACGCCAUAAAAAAGUGACGCCAAGGUCGUGGGUUCGAGCCCCACACUGGCCA
rnacentral:tRNA from 1 species